rnacentral:rRNA from 1 species
GUGGAUGCCUUGGCGGUCAGAGGCGAUGAAGGACGUGGCAGCCUGCGAAAAGUAUCGGGGAGCUGGCAACAAGCUUUGAUCCGGUAAUGUCCGAAUGGGGAAACCCACCCGCUUGCGGGUAUCCUGCAGUGAAUACAUAGCUGCUGGAAGCGAACCUGGUGAACUGAAAUAUCUAAGUAACCAGAGGAAAAGAAAUCAACCGAGAUUCCGUAAGUAGCGACGAGCGAACGCGGACUAGCCCUUAAGCUGAUUUGGUUCUAGGAAAACGCUCUGGAAAGAGCGGCCAUAGAAGGUGAUAGCCCUGUAUCUGAAAGGGCCAUUUCAGUGAAGACGAGUAGGGCGGGGCACGUGAAACCCUGUCUGAACAUGGGGGGACCAUCCUCCAAGGCUAAAUACUACUGACCGACCGAUAGUGAACCAGUACCGUGAGGGAAAGGCGAAAAGAACCCAGGAGAGGGGAGUGAAAUAGAACCUGAAACCGUGUGCGUACAAGCAGUAGGAGCUCCGCAAGGAGUGACUGCGUACCUUUUGUAUAAUGGGUCAGCGACUUACUGUUCGUGGCAAGCUUAACCGUAUAGGGGAGGCGAAGGGAAACCGAGUCUGAUAAGGGCGCAUAGUCGCGGGCAGUAGACCCGAAACCGGGUGAUCUAGUCAUGCCCAGGGUGAAGGUGCGGUAACACGCACUGGAGGCCCGAACCCACUCCCGUUGCAAAGGUAGGGGAUGAGGUGUGAUUAGGAGUGAAAAGCUAAUCGAACCCGGAGAUAGCUGGUUCUCCUCGAAAGCUAUUUAGGUAGCGCCUCAUAUGUAUCCUCUCGGGGGUAGAGCACUGUUAUGGCUAGGGGGUCAUCGCGACUUACCAAACCAUUGCAAACUCCGAAUACCGAGACGGACUGUAUGGGAGACACACGGCGGGUGCUAACGUCCGUCGUGAAAAGGGAAACAACCCAGACCCACAGCUAAGGUCCCAAAUUUUGUGCUAAGUGGAAAACCAUGUGGAAAGGCACAGACAGCCAGGAGGUUGGCUUAGAAGCAGCCACCCUUUAAAGAAAGCGUAAUAGCUCACUGGUCGAGUCGGUCUGCGGGGAAGAUUUAACGGGGCUAAGCACAGAACCGAAGCUUGGGGUGCAUACUUUGUAUGCGCGGUAGAGGAGCGUUCCGUAAGCCGUUGAAGGUGGAUUGAGAAGUCUGCUGGAGGUAUCGGAAGUGCGAAUGCUGACAUGAGUAACGAUAAUGCGGGUGAAAAACCCGCACGCCGAAAGCCCAAGGUUUCCUUGCGCAACGUUAAUCGGCGCAGGGUGAGUCGGCCCCUAAGGCGAGGACGAAAGUCGUAGUCGAUGGGAAGCAGGUUAAUAUUCCUGCACCUCGCGUAAGUGCGAUGGAGGGACGGAGAAGGUUAGGUGUACCAGGCGUUGGUUGUCCUGGGGAAAGGCGGUAGGUUUGGAUCUUUGGCAAAUCCGGGAUCCUUUAAGACCGAGCACCGAGACGAGCCUUUAUGGCGAAGUCACUGAUACCACGCUUCCAGGAAAAGCUCCUAAGCUUCAGCUUACGCAGACCGUACCGUAAACCGACACAGGUGGGUAGGAUGAGAAUUCUCAGGCGCUUGAGAGAACUCGGGUGAAGGAACUAGGCAACAUGGCACCGUAACUUCGGGAGAAGGUGCACCCUUUUUGGUGGCUCGUGCGAGCUAUAGCUGAAGAGGGUCGCAGUAACCAGGCCGCUGCGACUGUUUAUCAAAAACACAGCACUCUGCAAACACGAAAGUGGACGUAUAGGGUGUGACGCCUGCCCGGUGCUGGAAGGUUAAUUGAUGGGGUCAGCCGCAAGGCGAAGCUCUUGAUCGAAGCCCCAGUAAACGGCGGCCGUAACUAUAACGGUCCUAAGGUAGCGAAAUUCCUUGUCGGGUAAGUUCCGACCUGCACGAAUGGCGUAACGACAGCGGCGCUGUCUCCACCCGAGACUCAGUGAAAUUGAAAUCGCUGUGAAGAUGCAGCGUUCCCGUGGCAAGACGGAAAGACCCCGUGAACCUUUACUAUAGCUUUACACUGAACGUUGAGUUCGUCUGUGUAGGAUAGGUGGGAGGCUAUGAAACCAUGGCGCUAGCUGUGGCGGAGCCAUCCUUGAAAUACCACCCUGUCGUGCUUGACGUUCUAACCUGGGCCCAUUAUCUGGGUCGGGGACCGUGUAUGGUGGGUAGUUUGACUGGGGCGGUCUCCUCCUAAAGAGUAACGGAGGAGCUCGAAGGUACGCUCAGCGCGGUCGGACAUCGCGCACUGUGUGCAAAGGCAUAAGCGUGCUUGACUGCAAGAUCGACGGAUCAAGCAGGUAGGAAACUAGGACUUAGUGAUCCGGUGGUUCUGUAUGGAAGGGCCAUCGCUCAACGGAUAAAAGGUACUCCGGGGAUAACAGGCUGAUACCGCCCAAGAGUUCAUAUCGACGGCGGUGUUUGGCACCUCGAUGUCGGCUCAUCACAUCCUGGGGCUGUAGUCGGUCCCAAGGGUAUGGCUGUUCGCCAUUUAAAGUGGUACGCGAGCUGGGUUCAGAACGUCGUGAGACAGUUCGGUCCCUAUCUGCCAUGGGCGUUGGAGAUUUGAGAGGGGCUGCUCCUAGUACGAGAGGACCGGAGUGGACGAACCUCUGGUGUUCCGGUUGUCACGCCAGUGGCAUUGCCGGGUAGCUAUGUUCGGAAGCGAUAACCGCUGAAAGCAUCUAAGCGGGAAGCGCGCCUCAAGAUGAGAUCUCCCGGGGCACAAGCCCCCUGAAGGAACCAUGUAGACUACGUGGUUGAUAGGUCAGGUGUGUAAGUACAGCAAUGUAUUGAGCUAACUGAUACUAAUGAUCCGUGCGGCUUGACCAUAUAACCU